UACGUAGGGUGCGAGCGUUAAUCGGAAUUACUGGGCGUAAAGCGUGCGCAGGCGGUUUGUUAAGUCUGAUGUGAAAGCCCCGGGCUCAACCUGGGAACUGCAUUGGAAACUGGCAAGCUCGAGUAUGGCAGAGGGGGGUGGAAUUCCGCGUGUAGCAGUGAAAUGCGUAGAGAUGCGGAGGAACACCGAUGGCGAAGGCAGCCCCCUGGGCCAAUACUGACGCUGAUGCGCGAAAGCUAGGGGAGCAAACGGG
rnacentral:rRNA from 1 species